rnacentral:tRNA from 1 species
GACCCCGUGGUGGAAACGGUAGACACAGCGGCUUUGGGUGCCGCCGCCGCCCAGGCAUGUCGGUUCGAAUCCGGCCGGGGUCAC